rnacentral:rRNA from 1 species
AUUGAACGCUGGCGGCAUGCUUUACACAUGCAAGUCGAACGGCAGCGCGGGCUUCGGCCUGGCGGCGAGUGGCGAACGGGUGAGUAAUGCAUCGGAACGUGCCCAGUAGUGGGGGAUAGCCCGGCGAAAGCCGGAUUAAUACCGCAUACGACCUGAGGGUGAAAGCGGGGGACCGAAAGGCCUCGCGCUAUUGGAGCGGCCGAUGUCGGGUUAGCUAGUUGGUUGGGUAAAGGCUUACCAAGGCGGCGAUCCGUAGCUGGUCUGAGAGGACGACCAGCCACACGUGGGCUGGAGCACCGCCCCGGCCCCUGAGGGAAGGCGCAGGUGGGAAUUUUGGACAAUGGGGGCAACCCUGAUCCAGCCAUGCCGCGUGCGGGAAGAAGGCCUUCGGGUUGUAAACCGCUUUUGUUCGGGAAGAAAUCCUCUGGGCUAAUACCCCGGGGGGAUGACGGUACCGGAAGAAUAAGCACCGGCUAACUACGUG